rnacentral:rRNA from 1 species
UCAGUUAAAGCUUCGGCGGUCAGAGAUGGGCAUGCGUAACAUUAGCUGGUUGGUGAGGUAACAGCUCACCAAGGCUACGAUGUUUAGGGGGUCUGAGAGGAUGGUCCCCCACACUGGUACUGAGACACGGACCAGACUCCUACGGGAGGCAGCAGUGAGGAAUAUUGGUCAAUGGGCGAAAGCCUGAACCAGCCAUGCCGCGUGAAGGAUGACGGCCCUAUGGGUUGUAAACUUCUUUUAUACGGGAAGAAACCCCUCUACGUGUAGGGGGCUGACGGUACCGUACGAAUAAGCAUCGGCUAACUCCGUGCCAGCAGCCGCGGUAAUACGGAGGAUGCAAGCGUUAUCCGGAUUUAUUGGGUUUAAAGGGUGCGUAGGCGGAAAAUUAAGUCAGUGGUGAAAUCCUGCAGCUUAACUGUAGAAUUGUCAUUGAUACUGGUUUUCUUGAAUACAGUUGAGGUAGGCGGAAUGAGUAAUGUAGCGGUGAAAUGCUUAGAUAUUACUCAGAACACCAAUUGCGAAGGCAGCUUACUAAACUGUGAUUGACGCUGAGGCACGAAAAGCGUGGGGAGCGAACAGGAUUAGAUACCCUGGUAGUCCACGCCGUAAACGAUGAUCACUCGUUGUUGGCAAUACACCGUCAGCGACUGAGCGAAAGUAUUAAGUGAUCCACCUGGGGAGUACGAUUGCAAGAUUGAAACUCAAAGGAAUUGACGGGGGGCCCGCACAAGCGGAGGAACAUGGUGGUUUAAUGUCGAUGAUACGCGAGGAACCUUACCUGGGCUUAAAUGCAUAACGACGGAUCGGGAAACUGGUCUUUCUUCGGACGGAAUGCAAGGUGCUGCAUGGCUGUCGUCAGCUCGUGCCGUGAGGUGUCGGGUUAAGUCCCAUAACGAGCGCAACCCUCAUCAUUAGUUGCCAGCGGGUAAUGCCGGGGACUCUAAUGAAACUGCCGGUGUAAACCGAGAGGAAGGCGAGGAUGACGUCAAGUCAGCACGGCCCUUAUGUCCAGGGCUACACACGUGUUACAAUGGUCAGUACAAAGGGCAGCUACCAGGCAACUGGAUGCUAAUCUCAAAAGCUGGUCACAGUU